UGGAGAUUGCAGUCCACAGGAGUUGCACAUGGCAACAGACUUAACCCUUGCAAGACCAGGCUCCCAGAGGGAAGCAGGUAAGACGGGGGUCUGGGCCCCUGCCUCUGCCCUUCCCCCCAGUGAAUGCAAAGCCCUGGAAUAAUGAAAUGACAUGCCACAGCCAGACAGCACUGGGCAGCUACCAGGAGUGGUGGGAGAGCAGACCACAGACCAGUCUGAAUGCUCCUGAAAUGAACCGCCAGGCCCUGAAGCUGAAGGAGGAGGAGUGCGGGCUCUGCCGCCGGGCUGACUCCAACCCCGACACCUAUGGGCAGAAAUGCCAGCGGGGUAAGCUGUGUGUGCACGAGAACUGCCUGUACCACGCCAGCGGGCUGGUCCAGAGGGGGAAGGACGAGGAGGGAUUUUACGGGUUCCUGUAUCCGGACAUCAGGCAGGAACUGAAGCGGGCAGUUCAGAAGACCUGCUGUGUGUGUGGCCGCAAAGGGGCAUCCAUUGCCUGCCAGGGCAGGAAGUGCACCAAGAACUUCCACUUCCCCUGCGGCUCCGAGAGAGGCUGCAUCUAUCAGUUCUUUGGGGAGUUUAGAUCUUUCUGCUGGAAGCACCGGCCAGUGCAGCGAGUGAGACGGCGGCAGCAGCAGGCGGAAACCAUUUGCGUCGUCUGCUUGGAGUCCAUGCCAGGCAAACCCUCCUACAGCGCCAUGGUGUGCCCGGCUUGCAAGCACGCCUGGUUCCACCGAGACUGCAUCCAGGGACACGCUCUCCGCGCUGCCUUGUACCAUUUCCGAUGCCCCAGGUGCCGGGACAUGGGGACAUUCCAAAGAGAGAUGUUUCGAAUGGGCAUCAAAAUCCCUGACAGGGACGCCGCCUGGGAGGAAGACGGCGCGUUCAGCGACCAGUAUCACAGACACAGCCGCUGUGAUGCCGGCUGCUGCCUGUACGUGGGCGGCAGAGAGCAAUCCGCAGACGACGGCCCAUGGCAGCUGCUGCUGUGUAGCUCGUGUGGCUCCCAGGGGACCCACCGCCGCUGCUCCUCGCUGGGGGCCACCAGGGGCCCGUGGGAGUGUGAGGACUGCGCGGAGCCCGCAGGGGCGGCAUCCCGCCAGCUUUCUGCCCCGGGGAGACCAGCAACCAGCCAGGCUGCGUGUGGAACCAGGGGCAGCUCCGGUGCAUCUGCCAGAGGCAGGAGGCCAGGACCCACCACACUCACCCCGAGAGCCAGACUCUCCCGUCCCCGCAAGUGAAGACCCUUCGCUGCCCCGGUCCCUGGCUCUGCUACCUACAGAAAUGUCCCCACGAGCUCUCCCAGCGUGAGCGACGCCAGCAGGAGUGAGAACGGCGUCGCCCGCUCAGCACCAGUGCUGGGAAGAGCUGUGGACCCCCGGGGUUUCCCUGCCACUGCUCCUCUCCGUAACAUCCCAGCC